CAAUGUCAAAUGGAUCGAGAUAUCGCGAUAUAACAUGACGAUCCAACGUUACGAUAUUUCAGUCGAGGCUUGACUAUGUCAUAGGUCAUUAUCAUCAAUUAUCGAUUCCGAUAAUCUGUCUUAAAAAUUAUAAAAUAAUUAUACAUCUCGAGUAAAAAUUGAAAUUGGAAUAAAAUGAAAAUAGAUUUGCAUAUUAUAAAUUGCAAUUGAAUUGUAAAUCGUAAAUAUUCGUAUAAAAUACGUAGUAUCAUACACAUUGUGUACUAUAUCAAACGUGAUGAUUGGUAUAAACUCUUUCUAAAAAGUUUCCAUACAAAUUAUUAAUAACUUAUUUAAAUGUCACUCAAACUUUAUUCGAAGAAGUGUAAAAAAAAAAAUUCAGGCAAAAUCGCACUUUAUCGAAAAUAAAAUUUAUCAAAGUAUCGAAAUAUUUGAUGAAAGAAAAGAACCAAACGUGUACGUAUAUAUUCUUCAAAUUACAAAUUCUAAUCGUAAUCCAAUAAUAAUAAUAAUCAUUAAUUCGAAUUAUAUAUUUAUUAUAACCAACUAAUAAAAUUGAUCUGAGCCACAAUUUUGGCACAUCUUGGCACGAAAAUAUCUUCAUCACGAGUAAUGCGAAGGCUACGAGGUUAAGGAAACAAAAACGUUGUGAUACCAGAGAGAUGCAUUCGCGUCUGCAGAUAUGAUAUCUGAAUCAAGGGGACCGUCCUCUAAUCGACCGUGCUAUGUCUCAAUGUUAACACAAAAUUAUCACAGGUGAUAGGAGCCGGCUUACAAACGUCGUCUGUGAGUCUUGAUAAUUCCUUGAUAAUUUAACCACGAUGUGCUUCUUCUAUUUGUACUCCCCUGCCUCCUAUUUGUACUCCUUGCUAAAUCUCGGAUAACUCUCGAAUUAUCCUCCAUAUUGCCUCCCAUGUAUCAUUUUAUUUCAUCAAAAUUCUUAGAAUUUUUAUUGCUCAAAAAUAUUGAACUUUCUUUCAUACGAGAUUUUACAUUCGAGCAUAUUUCAUAUCGAUAAAAAUUGUUUUUUUAAUUUGGUUUAUGAAUAAAAUAUAAAAGAAGAAAUUAUUUUUUUCUCUUAAUAGCUUUGAAUUUCCGAUCCUCGUGAAAAAGAUAUAGAAACGAUUUCUAAUUUUUCGCAAUUGCACGAGCAAAUAAUAAUCUCCCGAUUGAAUCGUGUUCGAGGAACGAAUUGCUUGAACCGAGAUAAAUUUGUAUAAAGAGAGAGAGAGAGAGAGAGAGAGAGAGAGCGAGAAAAAAGAAGAAACACAGCAAAUAACAGUUUCAGUUUUAUUUGUUGUAAAAUCUACAACGAGGAAAUAAUAUCGGUUCGUCAUUAGUCGCGCGUAAAUUGAGCGUAGAAAUGAAUGCUCGUUAUUUUGUGAAAAUACGCGUGAAAAUAUUGCAAAAAUGUAUAUAAAAAAAAAAAGUUAAAAAAUUAACUAAUAUAGAUCAUCGUUAAAAAUAAUAAAUUCUUCCACAAAAAGGAAAAAAAACAAAAUGAAAUGAAAUCAAACGAUUAAAAAGUUUUCAAAAAUUCUCAUUAUAUUGAAAUUUGGACUGUAUAUUUUUGAACGCCGUUAUUAAUGUUUCAGAGUUUGCCAAGCUUGGAAGUUAGAAAGUUUAUCGCAUAAAUGAAAUGAAAUAUCGCUAUCGAGAGCGAUAUUCGAUGAAAGACAAAAAGAGAGAGAAAGAGAGAAAGAGAGAGAGAGAGAGAGAAAGGUGAAAAACAUUUUGCAGCCUAUUACAUAUCACGGUAGAUGAUCACGUUCCUGUGAAAGUGUUUCGAGAAUUAUGUAAAUGACUAAUUUUCACGCCAGGGCAAAGUUCUUUCUUCAUAUGCGACUCGAGCGAAUACGACUUUCUUGCCUCGAACAGUGAAAGCGGUCGGGAUUAAUUCUUUCUGUGGCGCGCGAGUAACUUGGCAAAGUCACGAAAUGCAGAAAUCACGCUCACUUUGAGAAAGGUCAUGGUAGCCACUUAAACUUUGCCCAACUUGGAAAUUUCUCGAUAUCGAUAAAUAACCAUGUUUCUUUCUUCAUUCUUUUGUUCGAAUUUCAUUCAUUUCGUUACUCUUUCACGUAUACUUUUCUUUUUUUUUUCUUACUUAAGAUUUGUUAAAACAUUGCAUUUGAUGAGAUUCGUACUUCUUCGAGGCAAGAAAAAUUCGAAAGAUUCGAGUUUCUUUAACGCGUCAAUUUUUUUGCGUCUGAUUUAUAUUUUUCAAAUAAAAUGCAAUCGCUUUAAGAUUAAGUAUAAAUUUUAAGCGGCGAAACAAGUUGAGUGGUGAAUUGAAAUUAGAUUUAACGAAAAACUUUUUUAACAAGAAUUUUAAUUAUAUUUUUGUAUAAUAUAACAGUUAGAAUAAUCGUUGAUUUCAUGAAUAAGUGAACGUGCUUUUAAUCGAGAUCGAAAGUACGGUGAAAGUAAGUGACAUUGAACUCUAAUAUUGCGAGUAGCACUUAUUUAGUCAACCAACUCUUUUCUUCGCGAUGAUAAAUACGAUAUAAUUGGAUUAUGAAGCUUAGCAAAGAAAGUCACUAUCCUAUAAGAUAAAUAACCAGCAAAAUAAUUAACAAAAUUUAUACAAUCGCCACAAUAAUAAUUCUCUUCAUAAUUAACAAUUCCUUUAAAUUAAUCAAUAAAAAGGAAUCCAAUUUAUCGAUUUACUCGUAAUUGAUCCAAAAAAAAAAAAAAAAUAAUCAGAAAAGAAAAGAAGAAGAAAAAAAAACUGGCGACAUUGACGGUCACCAAUUCAUCGACCAAUCGUCUUUGUUCGAGGAUGACAAAAUAGGUGAGAAUCGGGUCCAGGAAGCGUGCAAAAUGCCCGAUUGGAGCGGCGAUACGCAUAUGCAAAUGUCGUCUAGAAAGGAGGCUAGCGUGGCGAGGGUAGAUCAGGUCGGUGGCUCGCGAAGAGAGACCGUGAACAAAGACCGGUUCUCGUAUGAAGGUCACUGGUUCAAUGGCGCCCAUAUACACGCCGGGGCGCGUUCGUUCUCUCGAAGGCCGUUUCACUUUCGUCGAACGCGGCCAAAAACCGUUUUCUUCUUUGGGCCGGCGUGUGCACACCGGCUGGCCCCUUUCUCCUUCCUCCUUUUCACCGAACCGUGGUCGCCUCGAUCCACGCCACGGCCGAUCCACUUGCACUUUCGACCAUCGGGUUCAAGGCCACCGGUUCGAGACUCGCUCCUCCGAGAGAUCUCGCGACGCUUCGAAGCGAGGGAAGUACGAUCGUUGUGCAGAUAUCUGGGUCAUCCUGGCUAAUUAGGUUAUUAUCAUUAGGUUCAAGGAGGUUGAAAAGUUAUAUAUAAGUGUGAGGUGGAGUGGAUCAAUGAAUCGUUACGUCGAUCUUUUUUUUUUCUUUUUCUUUUCAAUUCGGUAAGAAAUGGUUUGGAAAAACGUUCGAACGGUAAUAGCAUUCGAGCAUAUUUAUUUCUGAAUCGGAGCAUAUUUGUUAUAUAAAGAGAAACGGAAACGGUUUCGUCGAAUAAAAGAAAAUCCAAUGAAUAUUUCAACUCGAUCCCUCUCCCCGAUCAAUUCAUUUUCAAGACUCGAUCAUCAGUUUAAAAUUCAUGAAUAGAUUGCCCACAGAUUCGACGAGGUUUGACAAAAAUUUCUUCGUUUUGAAUUUGAUUAAAAAUUCGCAAGUCUCCGAUUUGAGAUUGAAAAUGGUUUGGAAAUACGUGGAUUUUCGAAGGAAAAGAGCAAAACUGGUCGUUCUGAAUCUCGCGAUUUCACCUCGGGUAUGGGAGGUGAUAGCCUGGUGGAAAGUUGCGGGCCAGUGUUCUCCUCGCCGCGGAACAGUUUCGCUUUCUUAAACGACUCUCACGCUCGCUCUCGACGGGCCUCUUCCCUCGUUUUCAGGACCCCCGUUGGGUCGCGAUCCGGUUUCUAAAACUCUCGCCACGGUGUCUCGCUUUCGUUCGCGCCCCGAUCGCGGCUUCUCCCAACGGAGAACGAAAGUGGAGAACGGUUUGGGUCAGCCAGGUCGACGAACCUGGAGGAAUUCCCUCGCGUGACGCCAUCGCGGGCUGAAUUCGAACUCAUUUUCUCUUUCCUCGCCGAUACGUGGUGAAAGCGCGUACAAACGCGUUUCGUCGAUCGACGAUCGUGUUUCCACUCGUGGAGGGAUGCUGAACCAUAUGCUGUUAAAAUCAUGUUUGAACUUUUUUCAUCGGAGAAAUAUUUAAAUGGAGAUUUUAGAUUCAGAUUCAGGAAGUGUAUUUAACCGUGGAACAUUCCUCUACUCGAGAUAAUAAAUAAAAUAAUUCUGGAUAGAUUUGUAUAUUCGGAUAUAUACAGAGGGAUUUUAUAACAAAAUUGAAAUCUAUUUGGACAGAUAUUUAAGCUGUUCAUCCGCUAUGGAUUCUCCACUCCAAGAAGGCGACGAUUAUCGACUCUAUUUUGGACUUUACACUCGAUUGAAAUUGUGAAUAAUGUCAAAAUUAUACCAUCCAUCCAAUUGUCUAUUAACAACUGGAUCAAAUUAAUUGGAUAGUCAAAUUAAUUUAAAAAAAAGAAUGAAAUUAAUAAUCCAGAUGCCUCGAAGACAGUGUAGCCAGGGGAUAACCUAUAUGACCGAGGUCUGGGUUAGCUCUUCAAGGCAUUCUGACCGAGUGAAUCUAGUAUGCGCGGUAUCGGGUAGCCGAACACUAUAUCGACAACAAGACCACGAACAAGGAAGGCUUUCUCCGUUGACCUUGAGGCCUGGCUAAAGCCCCGGAGCGACGUGAACUUGAACCAGUCUCGUGUUCUUUCCUUACGUCCAUAUUCCUCCUCUUCGAUGGAAACGAAUGCAAAUCGAUUUUCGAUUCGAACAGAUCGUGUAUUUUCAACGAUCCAAUAUAUAAUAAAGUUAUAUUCUAGAUAACAGGUAUAUAUAUAUAUCUAAAAUAUGGAUCGAAAUUGCAACCAUCUAUUCUAGGUUAUCGAGUCGAAAUUGCAAUCGUCUGGGCCCAAUAUCAUCGAAAUUAUCCACACAUCAGACCUGUAAUGGAUCCAAAGCUACCGAAUCGAAAUUGCAAUCGUUUAUACUGGACCUGAUCCAAAUUAUCCACACCGGCCUCUAAAGCUAUCGAAUCGAAAUCGAGAUUGCAAUCGUUUCGGGCCUAAUGCUACCAUUCUCGAAAUUAUCCGAAGCUAAAACUAUCGAAUCGAAAAGUGAAAAUUGCAACUAUGCUGAAUCGAAUCUCACAAGGAUGAUAGAUCCGUAUGAAACGGUAUCGCAAUUCCUUCGACGUAAAAUCAACGAUGAUCGUUGCAUGUAACUUUUCAGGAGAAUUACGCAACAGUGCACAUUAAUGCGUCUUCUUCCAAAAGGAAUCGAUCGAGGCAACCAAUUGUGUAAUCCGACCUCCAUUUCAGGGAUAUCGUCCCAGGUUGUCCUGGAAUCUACAGGAUUUAUGCUCACCUGAAUCCGUUUAAGGUCGAGUUUUUUCGUAGAAGCCUAAUAAUAUUAAUAAUUUAUCUAACAACUAGCAUGGAAUUGUAAAACGAUGCAAUAAUAAUAUAGAAAGUACACCUUUGGCACAGUGAAAGUAUGAUUUUUAAUGAAACAUGUUACAUACAAGCUUAAUUUCAGAAUGUUUUAUUCAGAAUGUAGGGAACGUAGAGUUACGAGCAAUUUUAAUGAAAUAGUGUAAAAAAUAUUGGAAGUAUGCAAGAUGGAUUUUUUUUCUUUUUAAUUUUUAAACAGAAAAUUAGAUAUCGCACAGUUAUUAAAAUAGCGAAACGCGUCGAAAGAGACAAACUCUAUCAGCAGAAAGUGAACGGACAUGCAGAGAUAUUCUCUAAAUAGAUUGAACAUCUGAGGACCUCCUUCGAGGGUAAACCGACCUUGUUGUUGUCUCACCCAACUGUUCCUGACCCAGACGCUUUGUUUCGUUUUAAUUAUAGGACUAUUUUUCCCCCCCCGUUUUCUCCUUUCCCUUCUCAUCAUCGUUUCACGAAAAAAAAAAAAAAAAAAGAAACAAUGAUCCCCCUAAAACAGAAAACUACCCAUUGCACGAACGUAUCCACUCAUUUAUCUCUCUUUUAUAAUCCUAACCGGGAAAUCCAACUCUUCCACAAUCUAUCCACGCUCUAAACUGAACCCUUAUUCAAAAAUAGUGAAGGAACAAAUCUAUUUUCGAGAUAUUUAAAAUGCCUUUUCAUUUUCCUUUCCAACAACCGCCCCUCACUCAUUCAUUUCACUUUCGUCAAAUCACCUCUCCCCUCCUUCUUUAUCAUUAUCCAUCAUUUCCUCUCCUCUCCUCUCUCCCAAUCGUUCUCCCACUCAGAGAACAAUAUCACCAACGUCGUAGUCGUCUCUAUCUCGUCGCGUCGAUCUCUCUCUCUCUCGGUUCCCUAGCUCGCCCCACUCUCUUCCCUCCUUCACUAUUCUAACUCAUGCGUGCUAUAACGCGCCUUGUCCCUAACCUAAUCCAACGAGAGUCGUGCUGAGCCACACCACGGACUACGGAGCCAGCCGCGCACUACAUUCAGACCGGUUUGAUGAUUCAGGUUCAUCUAGAUCUAAACAACUACGACCUCGGACACGUAAUACGUUUGGUCGCGGGUCUCGCGGCCAGCCACCACACGGAGAUUACCCCCUGCGUGAGAAGGGGGCCACCGAACGGGGCGCAUUAUGCGUGCUCUGCAAAAGCUCUUCUCUUGCUGGAAGGCUCGUGGAAUUUGUGCGAGACGCUGCUCGUGAAUAGAAUUUCGAAUGGCGUGAUUCUAUGGAAUUCAAUUUUUAUGAAUGACGCAAAAGAAGUACGUUUCGUGAAUAGGUUGGGUUUUUAGGUCAAAUAGAUUUCCAAUGAUCGGUUGAACAGAGAUUUCGAUCGAUUAAAAAGUUGGGAUUAAUUUGAGAUUGAAAUAAUUCUUUCGAAUUUUCGAAAGAAAAAUUUAUUCGAAUCGAGAACUUAGAAAAAGUGCGAGAGGAAAGUUUGGGAGAGAUUUUUUUUUUCAGAGAUUGUAAUACGUUUUAAGAUAAGGAACCCUCAUCUGUCUGGAUGAUUAUGUGAGCCGACAGAUAAAGAUAUAACGCACAUUUCUUUUUCUUUUUUUUUAGGGUUAGGGUGAUUUUAUUUGACGACCGUGAAGAACGAAUCCUUAAAAAUCCGCGCACAAUUAAAAGCUUGCCUUUGAAAAAGUCGAAAGCGUCCUUUGAGCCUGCUUGGAUCGAUUUACGAAGUGUUAAGGGGAUUCUUUUGAGAAUUUUUCUUCAAAGGACAUUCAGGGGCACUGGUACGGAGUGCAGGAACGAGUGUCAGCCUGGAAUCCUCGACAAGGGAGACCUUGACCUUCGCUAGUCGACCUACAACGCCCGCUUCUAAGGGGAUCCUUGAACGAAAUACAGAAGGGUUUAAUGUCUACGCCAUUAUACUUAUUAUAAUCCAUUCUUCCGCGUCUCGACACGACCGGGAGGGGGAUUCGUCUCGAGCAAUCGGUCUGUUUCUCUCGACGAACCAGAUGAACGUGCUCCGCAAUCGUCUAGCCUCGAAUAUAAUUCUUUAUAACGGAUACACGUUCUUAUAAAACUUUUUCCGAUUAUAUAAUAUAUCGACAUUUAAAUCGAAAUAUUUCUUUAAAUUAUAAACAACAAAAUUUAGGAAAAUACGAAUCUGAAAUUUUUAA